UACGGAGGGUGCAAGCGUUAAUCGGAAUUACUGGGCGUAAAGCGCGCGUAGGCGGUUUGUCACGCCAGAUGUGAAAGCCCCGGGCUCAACCUGGGAACUGCAUCUGGAACGGGCAGGCUAGAGUACAGCAGAGGAUAGUGGAAUUUCAGGUGUAGCGGUGAAAUGCGUAGAUAUCUGAAGGAACACCAGUGGCGAAGGCGACUGUCUGGGCUGAUACUGACGCUGAGGUGCGAAAUCGUGGGGAGCAAACAGG
rnacentral:rRNA from 1 species